UGAGAACUUUGAAGACUGAAG
rnacentral:misc_RNA from 1 species